ACGCUGGCGGCGCGCCUAACACAUGCAAGUCGAACGGAGCUGUUUUCUCUGAAGUUUUCGGAUGGAAGAGAGUUCAGCUUAGUGGCGAACGGGUGAGUAACACGUGAGCAACCUGCCUUUCAGUGGGGGACAACAUUUGGAAACGAAUGCUAAUACCGCAUAAGACCACAGUGUCGCAUGGCACAGGGGUCAAAGGAUUUAUCCGCUGAAAGAUGGGCUCGCGUCCGAUUAGCUAGAUGGUGAGGUAACGGCCCACCAUGGCAACGAUCGGUAGCCGGACUGAGAGGUUGAACGGCCACAUUGGGACUGAGACACGGCCCAGACUCCUACGGGAGGCAGCAGUGGGGAAUAUUGCACAAUGGGGGAAACCCUGAUGCAGCGACGCCGCGUGGAGGAAGAAGGUCUUCGGAUUGUAAACUCCUGUCCCAGGGGACGAUAAUGACGGUACCCUGGGAGGAAGCACCGGCUAACUACGUGCCAGCAGCCGCGGUAAAACGUAGGGUGCAAGCGUUGUCCGGAAUUACUGGGUGUAAAGGGAGCGCAGGCGGAUUGGCAAGUUGGGAGUGAAAUCUAUGGGCUCAACCCAUAAAUUGCUUUCAAAACUGUCAGUCUUGAGUGGUGUAGAGGUAGGCGGAAUUCCCGGUGUAGCGGUGGAAUGCGUAGAUAUCGGGAGGAACACCAGUGGCGAAGGCGGCCUACUGGGCACUAACUGACGCUGAGGCUCGAAAGCAUGGGUAGCAAACAGG
rnacentral:rRNA from 1 species